GGUCAGCGCUUGCGUGUCGUCGCUCCAUAUGGUCGUCGUGUCGGUUGAGGCCUUGAGUGUCGGUUCGGGUUUGCUUUCACCGCGGGUUCGUUCUUCCUUUGUUGUUUCUUGGCUGCGGCCGCAGUUCUCCUCGACUAGAUGUGCUUUGCCCAGCGCCGUCGCCCAUCGCGCACCGUCAUAGGCAUCAUAGGCAGGGACAAUAGCAGCCCGAUGGCUGAACAGGGCAGGGGAGGUGAAUGUUCUGCCCAGCGCUGAGAGAGGAAUGGAGGAAGGCGUCGAGGGAAUCAACAUAGGGCUGCUGUUGUCCCUGCCUCUGCCUAUGAUGCGCCGUCCGCGCCUCUGUAGCCUGUACUGGCACCACCGGCAUCUACAUCCUCUUCGAGAAGGGAACAAACAGCACCUUCCUCGCCCCUACCCUGUUCAGCCAUCCCCAUACUCCCGGACGAAUCGGUCGCCACUGCCGCCACGAUGUGGGGAUGAACUCUGCAUCUCCGCUAGCUACGGCAGCAAUCUUGCGCUUCUCCAAUUCCUCUCCUCCAACAAGGUCAAUUCCUUUUUCUACUGCUGGCUUCCUAUUCCAAGGUGUUCUUCCUGCAGCUAUCAAUGUCAUCUUGGUUCCUGUAGGAGAUGGUGUGUUCUCAAGUUUACGUACACUAUUUUUUUCACCAGGUUUCCCACUUAAGCAAUGUUUGAUUCUGCUGUACUAGAGAUGGUUGGCAGAUUUUGAGGAGAGAAUAAUGCAGCAGUCGGACUAUGUGCAAUUAAAAGUAACACUAUGUGAUCAUAAAGUGGGAGAGAUGGCAAGACUGUCUGGUCAGUAUUGCUGUUGUGCGUGCACUGAUAAAAUGCAUUGACUGUUCUUGCUGCCACAUUAGCUAGAGAGGCUGGUGCCAAUUCUACAUCACAACAAGGGCAACUUAAAAAAAUUAUUUUACCAGAGGGCAACUUAAGGAUUGGAGGCGACGUUCUUUGUUUUUAGGUUCUGUAUUAUACCGAUACGAUCAAACCUAUCUUCGAACUGUUGGUA